rnacentral:lncRNA from 10 species
CCCAACAACAGCAGAAUACACAUUCUUUUCAAGAGCCCAUGGAACAUAUACCAAGAUAGACCACAUCUUGGGCCAAAAAACACAUUUCAACAAAUGUAAAAGAAUUGAAAUCAUAUAGAGUAUAUUCUGUCACACACUGGAACCAAACUAGAAACCAAUAACAGAAAAAGAGGGCUGAAACUGGCUGAUCCAUGAGAGCCCCUCUAACUUGUCUUUUCCAUCCCCAUCUUUAUCCUUACUCCCUGCAGAGGAAAAUUGGCCAAAACCAAACUGACCAGGUAAACAGUGGAGUUUACUCCUUUGAACCUCAGUUUCCUCAUCUACAAAAUGGGUAUGAUAAUAACACUGGGCUGUGUUGAGGCUUAACUGGGCCAUCCUUUGGGUUCCCAUGUAGCCUAUUGUCACCUUGUCACAGCACCUACUAUGUCCCUGUAUAUUGUUUUGUUUCUUUUUUGUUUUUUAGACAGAGUCUCGCUCUGUCGCCCAGGCUGGAGUACAGUGGCUCGAUC